rnacentral:tRNA from 1 species
UGGAGCGGGAAACGAGACUCGAACUCGCGACCCCAACCUUGGCAAGGUUAUGCUCUACCAACUGAGCUAUUCCCGC